CUAUUCAAUCCAUUUGUUCACUUUAUAGUAUCUCCAAUGAUGUAAUGUCAUUUGUAAUAGCAUCACAAUCAUUAUUUCUGGUGGCCUCCCACUAUUUUGUUUUACUUAAAGGUGCUUUCAGGGAUUUCACCAAAAAUGUUAAGG